CCAAUAGCGUAUAUUAAAGUUGCUGCAGUUAAAAAGCUCGUAGUUGAAUUUCGGGACCAAUAUGUCGGUCGUGCCUCGGUACGUACUGGCAUCGUUGGUUUCUCCCUUCUGACGAACCAUGAUGUCAUUUAUUUGGUGUCGUGGGGAAUCAGGACUGUUACUUUGAAAAAAUUAGAGUGUUUAAAGCAGGCUCACGCUUGAAUACAUUAGCAUGGAAUAAGGAAAUAGGACGUUUGAUUCUAUUUUGUUGGUUUCUAGGAUCGACGUAAUGAUUAAUGGGGAUAGUUGGGGGCAUUAGUAUUAAAUUGUAAGAGGUGAAAUUCUUGGAUUUAUUUAAGACUAACUACUGCGAAAGCAUUUGCCAAGGAUGUUUUCAUUAAUCAAGAACGAAAGUUAGGGGAUCGAAGACGAUCAGAUACCGUCGUAGUCUUAACCAUAAACUAUGCCGACUAGGGAUCGGAUGAUGUUAAUUUUUUAAUGACUCAUUCGGCGCCUUACG
rnacentral:rRNA from 1 species